GGAAGGUGAAGUUGUGGAGGAGCAGGAGACUGCUGGCUGUGAAACACAGAGAUCCUCGGGGAGGUUACAGUAAAUGUGAAAGAGAUGAGGAGCACAAAAGCUUUCAGGAGCUGCAGCAAGAGGCUGAAUGGAAGAUAAUUGUUGUGCCAGCAACUUCAUCAAAGCGACUGCCUGCGGAUCAAAGGCUCGUUCACUGGGAACUUAGCUGAUGGAGAGCCACAGAAUAUUCUUCAUGGCAGAAUACAGAAUAUUUCUUAUGUUAGGAAAUCAAGUAAAACAUAGGGCUUUAGUUCUACUACUAGGCUUGCUCUUUAGUGAGCACUGGAUUGUCUGAAUAAAUGCCACGUAUUUGAAUGACAUUUUAUAGUAAAAAACUUCAGCUCAGCUUUUCCAAUUUUUCCUAUUAGGUGUCUAGUGCAUUUGAUAAUUAUUUUCAUUACUUAAUUCUGAAGUGUUAUUGAACUACAGGCAGUGCUUAAGGAUAGAAUGAGGACCCAGGCUGCUGGUGUGCUACCAGUUUACAUAGAUAUGUAGAUGGUCACACCGUGUUGAGACCAAGUGCACCCUUACCUUUAAGUUUGCUGCAGGUAGUUCUGCUUUGGUAGACUCUCCCCAUGGCUUAAGGUUUUAAGAGUCAAAAUCUACUCCAUUAGUUUUUCAAUUAUACUUUCUGCUGGAAUUUUAAGAGGCCGUUUUGUAGGUUCUUCUCUUGUGGAACCCUUUUCUGUCAGCCUUUAUAUAUGACACACAUUUGAAUUGUGUAUAGGGAAGUUUCCUUCUUAGCACAGAACGCUCCUUCUGGCUGGAUUUAUGUUUUCCGCUGGCUCUCGUAUGAAGAAGUAUUUUUAUCACUGCAUGUUAUAAGAUAGCUUGAAACUGCUUAGACAAACAGUUAUUUAAAUAUUUAAUUUCCAAAAAUUUAGCAGUAACUAUAAAAUGCAUACUAAUCCUUGGAGCAUGUCUUCUUUUUGGUGGUGAGCUCUAUUUAAGUCAUAUCAGUAAAAGAAUCUGUUCCCUUGUGAUUUUGCUUUAAAAGGAAAAGGCAAAGUCAUACUUUCCAUGUAAUGAUACAAUCUGUCAUGGUAGGGACCUUGUAUGUUAUGUAUUUAUUCACUUAUAGAAUUUAAUUUUAGAAAUUCACUUUUAGAACUUACAUUUUAGUUUUCUGCAAGGCAAUGAGCAGGCAGUUUUUAAAUUUUAGGUCAGAUAUGCCUAGGUAAUAUAUAUUUUUUAUCUUGUUUCUUUCUAGGUUCUGUCUUUGAGUGCCACUAAAACCUGCAUUCUAGAGUUCUGCUUACUUUAUCAAAGUCAGAAACCUCUGAGGCAGUGAAGGAUUUAUUUUAUGCCCUGUGUCACAAUUUUGUGUUGCCAUUGAUGAUAUGAAGUUUAGAUGGAUAUUAAGAAAAAGUUUCUUCAUCGACAGGGUUGUCAAGCAUUGGAACUCCCCAGGCUGCCCAGGGAAGUGAUGGAGUCACCAUCCCUGGAGGCCUUUGGAAAAUGUGUAGGUGUGGUAAUUAGGGUCAGGGUUUAAUGGUGGGCUUGGCGGUGCUGGGUUAACAGUUUGACUCAAUGAUCUUAAGGGUGUUUUCCAGCCUAAAUGAUUCUAUGAUCUCCAGGCUGUGUUUGUCUAGAUUGUCAUUUAGGACAGGACUAGUCUGACCUUUUUGUGUGUGUAUGGGAAAUGAGGAAGGGUUUUGGAUUGCCUUUGUUGCUCCCACUUGUAGAGUGAGUAGAGUAUGAAGCGUGAGCAAAUGAAAGUAAAACAAUGAAGGAGGCAAAGCUGCUACUAUAAUCUACUGCAGACCUCCUGUAGAGCCACUGCUUUCUAUUACAACCUGCUUCUCUGGCAGAGGUGGUGCUCAGGCAUUAGCUCCACCCUGGUGAGGUGCCAGGUUAUGAUACCUUAAGAUCUAGCUUUCAUAUUUUCAGAUCCUGUGCUGCCUAGGGAUGUAGUCCUGAGCCUCAUAUUAAGUGUCAGUCAGCUGUCUUCACAGAGCAGGCAGACAAAACAAAUCCUUUUCGUGCUGGAGACCAAGGACAACUUUCAAUCUAAAAGCACAAACAACAGUGGACGGAAGGGAGGAACAAGAAGGAUGGGACCUCACAACCAGGAGCUGUAAUUGAACAAUUAAACCCCAGUAUGCAAAUGGACCAAAACUUACAAAAAUGUAAGAUCUUGUGACCCCGAUGCCGUCUUUCUUUUGUGGCCACCCUGGGUGCAGCCUGGUGCAGCCCAAGGUGGAUCUUGAACGUUUUACAAUAAAUAUUUUCUUU